GUCAGCUGGAUAAGCUCCGUUGGUUAGAGUGUGGUGCUGAUAAUGUCAAGGUUGUGGGUUCAAUCCCCGUUUGGGACA